rnacentral:lncRNA from 1 species
UUGCUUUUGAAAUUGAAAUUGUAAAUCUAAAGAUUCAAGACAAUCAAAAUAGAUGAUAAACUACAUAGUUAUACAAUUUUCAUAUCUAAAUGUAGACCAUCUAUUGUCUGCUCGAUAUAAUAAGUCCCAUCAGAAGACAUGCUGAAUAAUAGGAGUGCCAUGACCAAUUCACAAAGUCAAAGCACUAUAUAAAAAUGCAAUGUCCUUCCAACAUCAAUCAAUCAUUAGUCACUACUAACUUUUGAAUCAGAAUUUCGAAAUAAUGAUUGUUAGGAAAACAUAAUUCAAAAAACUACCUGGUAGAGCUUGGUCUGGUAAGAUACUAAUGAUAAGCUACUACAAUGGAGUGCAGCUUCCAGCAACCUCAAGAGUUCAAACAACCAAAAUAGAUGGUGAUGCUAGCAAUACCAACCAAGUCAACCAACAGCGCCCACCAAGAAAAAUACAAUGCCCAAUAGUUAUUUACUAGAAAGGAAUAAAAUACCCACUCCUUUGUAUUUUGAUGUGUAUGGUGCAGGAUCUCACAAUACAAACUUUUGUUGGUAGCUAAAAAAUGAACACUACAUGCAAAGACAGAUGAUCAAGUUAUACUGAAAAGGCUUCGUUAAUUGCAUAGAAAUCGACUAAUAGAAGACUCCAGGCCACAUAGAAAUAAACUAACAAAUUUAGAAAUCAACUAAGAAAUUUAGACACACAAUAACCUUCAAUAACC